UACGUAGGUGGCGAGCGUUAUCCGGAAUUAUUGGGCGUAAAGAGCGCGCAGGUGGUUGAUUAAGUCUGAUGUGAAAGCCCACGGCUCAACCGUAGUAAGCCUUUGAAACUGGGAAACUUGAGUGCAGGAGAGGAGAGUGGAAUUCCUAGUGUAGCGGUGAAAUGCGUAGAUAUUAGGAGGAACACCAGUUGCGAAGGCGGCUCUCUGGACUGUAACUGACACUGAGAAGCGAAAGCAUGGGUAGCGAACAGGAUUAGA
rnacentral:rRNA from 1 species